AUUUAACUUCAAUAGAAGAUUUUAGGAUUUUACAAAGGACAACACAAAAAAUUUAAGCAACAUUUAAAUAAACGCACAAGAUUUUUGACAGCUGUAUUUUUUCAAAUUCUCAGGCAAUAGGUCCCAAUGUAACAAAACCUUCAGUGUUAAAAAAAUAUCUGGUGGGCCAGUUUUAAACUUCGAGUUUUGUAAAAAAAACUCACGUGAAACCUCGGUGACGAAUUACUACACUUCGGACUUUCACCAAAAGUUUAUAAUUCAUAUCAUGAUAUUCGGGGAUUUUCUUCAGGGUUGAGAUAUUGGCAU